CACGGAGUUAGCCGAUCCUUAUUCCUUCGGUACAUUCAGCUACUUACACGUAAGCAGGUUUAUUCCCGAAUAAAAGCAGUUUACAACCCGGAGGGCCGUCUUCCUGCACGCGGCAUGGCUGGUUCAGGGUUGCCCCCAUUGACCAAUAUUCCUUACUGCUGCCUCCCGUAGGAGUCUGGUCCGUGUCUCAGUACCAGUGUGGGGGGCCAUCCUCUCAGAUCCCCUAGCCAUCGCGGUCUUGGUGGGCCGUUACCCCGCCAACCAACUAAUGGCACGCAUGCCCAUCCAAACCCCAUGAAUGUUUGACCAUUGCACGAUGCCGUGCUGUGGUUUUAUGCGGUAUUAAUCCGGAUUUCUCCGGGCUAUCCCCCAGGUUUGGGUAGGUUGCAUACGCGUUACGCACCCGUGCGCCGGUCUCAAGCUAGCAAGCUAGCUCUACCCCUCGACUUGCAUGUAUUAGGCCUGCCGCUAGCGUUCAUCCUGAGCCAGGAUCAAACUC
rnacentral:rRNA from 1 species